UACGUAGGGUGCAGGCGUUAAUCGGAAUUACUGGGCGUAAAGCGUGCGCAGGCGGUUUUGUAAGCCAGAUGUGAAAGCCCCGGGCUCAACCUGGGAAUGGCAUUUGGGACUGCAAGGCUGGAGUUUGGCAGAGGAGACUGGAAUUCCUGGUGUAGCAGUGAAAUGCGUAGAUAUCAGGAGGAAUACCGAUGGCGAAGGCAGGUCUCUGGGCUAUAACUGACGCUCAUGCACGAAAGCGUGGGGAGCAAACAGG
rnacentral:rRNA from 1 species